UAAUAAUACAGAAAAGAUUACAAUGGCCUUGUGCAAGGAUGACAUGUAAAUUUGUGAGGCAUUAUGUAUUUUA
rnacentral:snRNA from 1 species